rnacentral:rRNA from 1 species
AGAGUUUGAUCCUGGCUCAGAACGAACGCUGGCGGCGUGUCUUAAGCAUGCAAGUCGAGCGGCAAGCGCAGCAAUGCGCCUAGAGCGGCGGACUGGUGAGUAACACGUGGGUGAUCUACCUCGGGGAUGGGGAUAGCCAUUAGAAAUAGUGGGUAAUACCGAAUACGCUUCCAUGACUACGGUUGUGGAAGGAAAGGCGCUACGGCGCCACCCUGGGAUGAGCCCGCGCCCCAUUAGCUAGUUGGUGAGGUAAUGGCCCACCAAGGCUAUGAUGGGUAGGCGGCCUGAGAGGGUGUACGCCCACAUUGGGACUGAGAUACGGCCCAAACUCCUACGGGAGGCAGCAGCUAAGAAUAUUCCGCAAUGGACGAAAGUCUGACGGAGCGACGCCGCGUGGAUGAUGAAGGCCGGAAGGUUGUAAAAUCCUUUUGUCGGGGAAGAAUAAGCAUGGGAGGGAAUGCCCGUGUGAUGACAUGAACCGGCGAAUAAGCCCCGGCUAACUACGUGCCAGCAGCCGCGGUAACACGUAGGGGGCGAGCGUUGUUCGGAAUUACUGGGCGUAAAGGGCAUGUAGGCGGCCUUGUAAGCCUGGCGUGAAAGUCACCGGCUUAACCGGUGGAUUGCGUCGGGAACUGCAGGGCUUGAGUCACGGAGAGGGAGCUAGAAUUCCUGGUGUAGGGGUGAAAUCUGUAGAGAUCAGGAAGAAUACCAAUGGCGAAGGCAAGCUCCUGGCCGAUGACUGACGCUGAGGUGCGAAAGUGUGGGGAUCAAACAGGAUUAGAUACCCUGGUAGUCCACACUGUAAACGAUGUGCACUAGGUGCUGGGGCGGAUGCUUCAGUGCCGGAGCUAACGCGGUAAGUGCACCGCCUGGGGAGUAUGCUCGCAAGGGUGAAACUCAAAGGAAUUGACGGGGGCCCGCACAAGCGGUGGAGCAUGU